GUCGAGCGGACCUUUCGGGGUCAGCGGCGGACGGGUGAGUAACACGUGGGCAAUCUGCCCGAUACUCUGGGAUAACGCUUGGAAACGAGUGCUAAUACCGGAUGGUCUUCUUGGCCGCAUGGCCGAAAAGGAAAAGACGCGUUCGCGUCGGUGUCGGAUGAGCCCGCGGCGCAUUAGCUAGUUGGUGAGGUAACGGCCCACCAAGGCGACGAUGCGUAGCCGACCUGAGAGGGUGACCGGCCACACUGGGACUGAGACACGGCCCAGACUCCUACGGGAGGCAGCAGUAGGGAAUCUUCCACAAUGGGCGAAAGCCUGAUGGAGCAACGCCGCGUGAGUGAUGAAGGCCUUCGGGUUGUAAAACUCUGUCAUUCGGGACGAACCGGAGUCUGAGGAAAUGCAGACUCUCUGACGGUACCGGAGGAGGAAGCCCCGGCUAACUACGUGCCAGCAGCCGCGGUAAUACGUAGGGGGCAAGCGUUGUCCGGAUUCACUGGGCGUAAAGCGCGCGCAGGCGGUGAUGUAAGUCUGAGGUGAAAACCCGAAGCUCAACUUCGAGACUGCCUUGGAUACUGCGUCACUUGAGGAUAGGAGAGGCAAGGGGAAUUCCACGUGUAGCGGUGAAAUGCGUAGAGAUGUGGAGG
rnacentral:rRNA from 1 species